CAGUGCAACAAGCAGAGUUGCGAGUUUGAUAAAAAGCUAUGAAGCUAAAUUGGAUUAUUGCCUUGCUUUUGAUCGUUGGUGUAAUUAUUUUAAAUAUUGACGGCAAAUCUAUCACACGCAGUGCCAAGAAUUCAAAUCACUAUAUGAUGAAUGCGCCUUGUCCGUUCGGACAAAGAAGAUUUCGCCGGACAUGCCGCACAAUUAUUUAAUAAAUAUGUGAAUAUCGCUGGAAAAAAAGCUUCAUUAAAUUCCCAAAUAUACCAUUUUACUCUCUCCAAUUUUACGUCAUGGUUUGCCAGCUCUAGCCUAGAGCGGAACUCACACAUGCGAAGAGUGUGUGAAAAGCCCGAACGAUUGACACACAUUUGAGGGACAAUUAACUAGUGGGACACUUGAUGACUUCAUAAAGAGGUAGUGGAAAGGCCAAAAAACGUGUCUCUUUUUCGGGAAUCUUGCGCAACAGAUGAGACUAAAUAAACUCCGAAUAUAAACGACUAAAUGCAUAAAUAAAUUAUUGGAUGCUAUUGAGGUCAAUUUGCAGGCAAAACUGGUUGCGAAUGAGAGUGAGAGUGAAACAUUUUCUUGACCUUCGGGGCUUUUUGCAA